rnacentral:tRNA from 1 species
GUUAAGGGUAAGCUAAUGGUAAGGAUGUUGAAGCUUUUCCACAGCCUCCCGAAUUGUCGCCACAAUUGAAAAAGGCCGGUUCGAUCCGGCCUUUUCCA